UUUCCGUAGGUGAACCUGCGGAAGGAUCAUUAAUGAGAUCGUGCCCUCCGGGGUAGACCUCCCACCCUGUGUUUACAUUACCUGUGUUGCUUUGGCGGCCCCGUCGCAAGACCACCGGCUCCGGCUGGUCCGCGGCCGCCAGAGGAUUCCAAACCCAUACUGUUCAUGUGUCGUCUGAGUACUAUACAAUAGUUAAAACUUUCAACAACGGAUCUCUUGGUUCUGGCAUCGAUGAAGAACGCAGC
rnacentral:misc_RNA from 1 species